AAUUGAACAUUAGAUAAUUUUGUAAUUAUUGGUCAUUUUUUUAUCAAGAAAUGACUGUGUAUUGUUUUUAUUUCCUAAAAUAAAUCACAAAAUAUAAAUAUACAUAUAUAAUUAUUGUGUCAGAAAGUUGGGUGCACAGGAACCAUUUUCAUGUAGUACCUCAUUCUGGUCUUGGGGUGGAGAGCACUUUUACAUUUUAUUUUUGCUGCCUUUUGCUUCCUUACGUUAGGCCACUGGACACAUUCCAAGAUGGAUAUGAAAGGACAGUUUGCAGUGAAGAGUUGGAAAUACUGAAGUUGGUGUCAUACUUUAGACCAGACUUUAUCACCAGCGUGGUGCCCCUGUGGACUACCUAAGGUGCCAGCGUUGUAGGUUCUAAAAGUAAAACUAGUCAAUAAGAGGGUCAGAAAUUGUACUGUUACUGUGCUUUUUGGAUCAGUUACACUUGGGAUGAUAUUCAGAUGGGUGUCAUGACAAUGGUAAGAACGGUGUCUGCUAUUGUAUGUCCCAGAACUGAUUAUUGCUAAAUUGUUCGGGAAGUUUGUAUCAGACAAGUAGCACUUCAUAUUACUAAGUGCUUGAAGUAGGUCUCUGUUUCAAAAAGGUUGGUGACCCCUGCUGUAGACUAUCCAGCAGAGGACACUAAGCCUAAACUCUGAUCUUUUUCUCGUUUAAUAGAUAAUAUCCUGUAGAGUGGAGAAACAACACUUAACUGCCUAAAGAGUCACGUAACACAAAAUGAAUGUUAAUUCUGCAUUUGUGGGUGCUUUUGAAAUUUGUGUCUAUAUGUAGGCGUAUAUAUAUUUAACACAAAACUUACCAGUAUACUUUGUUUCUUUGUAACUAGAGACUGUUGGUGAGCUCGUGAAAAUUAGAAUCCCCAGAGUCUGGUAUACUGUGAUGGACCACAACGUCAUGAGACACCUGCGAUUUCCCGAUGGUUCAUCUGCAUCGAUGUUUUGCUGGUGGAGAUUUCACCAGGCUACUGGACUUCGUCAUGUCUGUGGGACAGAAGCUGUCCACACUGACUUUUUCCCAGAUUUCUUCCAUGUAACUUGGUGAUUUGUAGCUGUGGAAGGUACGGAAGUGAUGAUUGAUCUCAUCCAGCUGUCCCUUCUGUAGGGAUUAUAUUACUCUCUGGUGAUCCUUUGACAGAGGGCAAAGGUUACCUUCAGGAGCAGGGGGUCGAUGCCCUGGAUGCGUGGCUUCGGGACAGGUGGUAGGAAGAACACUUUUAACCUAAAGUAAACAGAGUAGACGAUUGUGAAUGUUCUUUUCAUUAACACUUUGUGUUGACUUUUUUAUUGAAAAUAUAUAUUCAAAUAUCAGCCUUAGAGAGGAGCCAAAUAGAAAUGGACCUUUUAUGUGUGCCAUAGCUCUGAUUAACUUUUUGUAGGUCUGCACAUUUGUGUUAGUUUGCUGAAAUACGUUAAUCUAAACCUCAUGAAAACCUCUUAUCUUUCUUAGUUAAAGUGAAACAGUCAAACCUAAAGGAAUGACUUUUCCUGCUCCAUUCGCCACUAAAGAAUCCUUCGGUGUGUUUAGAAGGCCGAGGUUCUCCCACCAGAAGCUUUAGAACUUGUGACAAUACAGAAAUACCAGUUAACCAGUAGUUAACUGGUAUAUGGCAAAUCACAACAAUUACAUACAGAACUAUUAAUUGAUUAUAUUAUUAUUAUUUGAUACAUACCACACAAGAAGCACUAGUACCAUUUAAAAGACAAAACGUCUCGCAAAAAAUUUACAUUGAUUUAGAGGUGUGUUAUUAUUUAAUAUAUUGUUUUUAACAGAAUUGAAACAUAAAGAAACUUUGUUUUACUUUUUGGAGUUUUUCAAGAAUAAAAAUCUAUUUGGAAUAAAUCACUAGCAGAUGUUAUCCACAGAUGUUCAAUAGUAGACGUUUUACAUCAGUGCUCUAAGUUGUAGACACCUUUGAAUGUGUGUGUACUGUAUGAGUAAACU